rnacentral:misc_RNA from 1 species
AAGUCGUAACAAGGUUUCCGUAGGUGAACCUGCGGAAACUUAACACGUAUCCAGUGAACCUUCAGUGUACUCGUACGUCCGUUAAUUCAGGACGUCUGCAAGGAGCGUGCAUGUUGUGCGAAGCAAGUGGCCUGGCAUCCCCAAGCAGUUAGUGUCUGAAAGUGUCAUUAACUGUGUAAGGAUGACGCAGUCACGAUCGUUGGAGGCCCACACGGCCGACGACCGGGUCACUGGGCGCAAGCCCCCCUAUAACAAACGCUGCUAAUCGCGGCCGCGAUAAUACGCAGUCGACCAAAAACCGAACAACUGUUAACAAUGGAUAUCUUGGUUCUC